AUGUCCCACCUCGUUGGAACCCACAGUGAGGACACACUAACCCCGUCCACCAAAAUGUGCCCAAUAGAGGAGGUGGUACUCCCAAGAAGGUUGGUGCCGGAAGAGGCCAAUCACUUUGGCAAUGCAAAGUGCAAGGUUGGCGGUGAUGGGCACCAACUGCUGUGUGGUUUGGUUGCAGAUGUAGCAACCGACGACAAGGGGUCCUGCGCAGGAGGCAUCAACUGCGAAUCUACGUUGGAAGCGUUUGAGAUACCAAUAGUUGGGUCCAGAUCUGAUGCGGAAGACUUUCGGGAACCGAAAACUGGUCGGAACUCUUCGCCUCAGAGGUGA
rnacentral:rRNA from 1 species